rnacentral:rRNA from 1 species
GUUCGGGUUCCGCGGGACGGGGCCGCCCCGCGAGGGACGGCGCCGCCCCGGGGCUCGUGAUAUCUCAUCUCGCCGCCCGUCGCGAGGCGGACGGAGGGAUGGAUGAGGUUUACCUGGAAAAAAUCGGGGCGAUCUAGGCGGGCGAACCUCGCCAACGAACGAUCGGACAUGGGAUAACGGAAGAGGGCGUCGGCUCGACUUCGUCGGUUCCUCGGGCCGAGGCACGUACGGUGAAUAGGGGACGGUCGGGGCCGCCCGUACCGGGGUCGUGAGAGGUGAAAUUCUAGGAUCGACCCGAGACGAACCGCCGCGAAAGCAUUCGGCAAGGACGCUUUCAUUAAUCAAGAACGAAAGUCGGGGGAUCGAAGACGAUCAGAUACCGUCGUAGUCCGACCGUAAACGAUGCCGACCGAGGGCCCGGAGGAGUACGUACGACCCUCCGGGCCCUCCCG